rnacentral:rRNA from 1 species
AUGGCGUCCAAGUCCAACUGCGUUCUCCUCUUGGCCGCCGUCCUAGUCUCCAUCUUUGCCGCCGUUGCCGCCAUCGGCAAUGAAGAUUGCACCCCAUGGAUGAGUACUCUGAUCACUCCACUCCCAAGCUGCCGUGACUAUGUGGAACAACAAGCAUGUCGCAUCGAAACGCCCGGGUCGCCGUACCUCGCCAAGCAGCAGUGCUGUGGGGAGCUUGCAAACAUUCCGCAGCAGUGCCGAUGCCAGGCGCUGCGCUACUUCAUGGGGCCGAAGUCUCGUCCGGAUCAGAGCGGCCUCAUGGAACUCCCCGGAUGCCCUAGGGAGGUGCAGAUGGACUUCGUGAGGAUACUCGUCACGCCGGGGUACUGCAACUUGACGACCGUUCACAACACUCCGUACUGCCUCGCUAUGGAGGAGUCUCAGUGGAGCUAG